rnacentral:rRNA from 1 species
CACGGGGGUUGCGAGCGUUCUCCGGAAUUACUAGGCGUAAAGGGCAGGCAGGCGGAUCCAUAAGUUUAUCGUUUAAGGCGUCGGCUUAACCGGCGUAGGGCGGUAGAUACUGUGGAUCUGGAAUGCGGUUGGGGAAGACAGAAUUCCUGGUGUAGCGGUGGAAUGCGCAGAGAUCAGGAGGAAUACCGAAGGCGAAGGCAGUCUUCCAAGCCGUUAUUGACGCUCAACUGCGAAGGUGUGGGUAUCAAACAGGAUUAGAUACCCCGGUAGUCCCUGAG